GCUCCUGCUGAUCCUGGAUCAGGUAUCUGAGUGUAGAACCGGAGUGAAUCCUGAUUGGCCAAUCUGCGAAUCCCACGCGUCCAGGUAGAUGACGUCAUGAUGAGAAGUUAAGUCGACAUUCCAGACCGCUCCUUAAGAGAGAUCCAUGCCUAGAACAAGUGUCAUGCAGAGAUCCCUGACCUUCAACCACACUCAACACCUUCAGGAUGAACUGAACCUGGAAAAUGAGGACACAUACCUUUGAAUGCUGUUUGUUAACUUCAGGAGAACACAUGGUGAUCACUCCCUGCUGAAUAAACAACAGCUCCUCCAUAGUGUCAUUUUAUUAUGGGGACAAUUCAUUUGACUAUCACAGAUCUUCUGUCCUGGUCUGUGCUGCAGUGUCCCUGUGUCUAAUGUCUCACUGUCUUAUGUUGUUGUUUUUGCACUGAAUGUCACACACAUACAUUUGAUCUUCUGUGCUUUAUGCUACUUUUCAUUUAUUUAUGUUGUCUGAUGGAGCACCUUAGUCCUGGAGGAAUAAUGUAUUGUUUCACUGUGUAUUGUAUUGUAUAAGUUUGAAUGACAAUCAAAGCCGACUUGACUUAAAAUACCAACUCUUUCGUAGACCUUCUCACCAAACAACAUUCAUGAAGCUGACUGAACACAAAAGCCAGUCUCUAAAAUUUGGUAGAAAUCCUGCCCAGAAAAAAAGAAAAUGGGGUUUCAGUACAUAUUCAUAUCUAUGGUUUUGAAAUAAGAUUUUGAAGGACAGUUUUGCUUGUUUGUUCACUUAAUUUUUUAUAUAUUGUUGGAUCGCAGUAUCAAUAGGCACGGGUGCAACUGCACAUUUGCUAAAGGGUACGCACGAUCAUGGUUAAUGCCCCUCUCCCCCUCCCAAAAAAAGAGGGGUAAAAACUCACAAACACAAUUUUUAUUCUGCACCAGUGAUUCUAAUUCAAUUAAUAUUAGUUCAACACAGGAAAACAUUGUGGAAAAGUUCAAUGAGGGUUGAGGUUAGGCAAGAUACUGUGUGUGUGUGUGUGUGUGUGUGUGUGUGUGUGUGUGUGUGUGUGUGUGUGUGUGUGUGUGUGUGUGUGUGUGUUUUCACAGUAGCGACAGCUAGUAGUCAAGCUAAUUAUAUCAACAAUUGCUCAUCAGUUCACAGGAUACAAGGAAUGUUCUUCACCUCCAAGUCCCAAACAUACAUCCAAAUACUUGAGCUGAUAUAUGAAUAGACCAUAUAUAUAUAUAUAUAUAUAUAUAGUUAGUUUGUAGUUUUAUGGAAGCUGUUGUACCAACUAUAAGCUGUGUUUUGAAUUACACUGCCCUUCACCUCUCACACCUCUCACACUAUACAUUAUUCCUCCUAGUGACUCAGGUCUCUAUUUAAACAUUCUUUCAUGGGGGCUCCACCGCAUGUGGCACAGUCAGUCUGUCAGCCUUGUGCAUGGAGACAAGUGCCAAAAUCUGAGAUGUGCUAAGAUGUCCCUGAUAGCUCUUGGAAACUGUCUUAUGUUACUGUUAAAACUA